GUGGGGAAUAUUGGGCAAUGGGGGCAACCCUGACCCAGCGACGCCGCGUGAGGGAAGAAGGCCUUAGGGUCGUAAACCUCUGUUGUGUGGGAAGAAGGAAGUGACGGUACCACACGAGGAAGUCCCGGCUAACUACGUGCCAGCAGCCGCGGUAAUACGUAGGGGACGAGCGUUGUCCGGAAUUACUGGGCGUAAAGGGCGCGUAGGAGGUCAGUUAAGUCAGCUGUGAAAUGGUCCGGCUCAACCGGAUCAUGCGGUUGAAACUGGAUGACUGGAGUGCUGGAGAGGCAAGUGGAAUUCCCAGUGUAGCGGUGAAGUGCGUAGAUAUUGGGAAGAACACCGGUGGCGAAGGCGACUUGCUGGCCAGCAACUGACGCUGAGGCGCGAAAGCCAGGGGAGCAAACAGGAUUAGAUACCCGAGUAGUCC
rnacentral:rRNA from 1 species